AUGCCAGAGCCAAGAGUCAGGAGCAUGGUCCCUAAGGACAGUGCACAGACUCAGGGACCAAGGGGGAGGGGUGCAAAAUGUGGGGCAGGGCAUUGUGACAUGCCAGGGCAUUGUGACAGUACUACCUCUAAUAUCAGCGGGGACUAUCACCAGUAUUUAGGCCGCUUGGUCCUCAGAACACUCCUCUGUAAGGUGGACACUACUAUCUUCAAAUUACAGGCGGGGGAACAAACUGAAUCUCAGAGAGGGGGGGCAUUGCUGGUGUUUGCUGGUGUGGAUCCAUCUUGUCACACUUCCACCAUCUCAGAGAACCGGGUGCAGGUGCAGGCUCUUGAAUAUUCUUCCUGGAGUCACUUACGUAACUUCUGUUUGCAUUUCAUUGGGCAAGGAAGCAGAAGGUGCUGAAUUGGCUACUGAGCUCGGAAGGGGGGGAAGCUGUCGACAUGGUGUGGAGUGCAUCAGUCCAUCAGUGGUAAGGAGGCCUGGGCAUAGGGUGUG